rnacentral:tRNA from 1 species
UUAAUUUUCUAAUAUGGCAGAUUA